CUGCCUUCACCCCUGCCCCAAGGACUCACCAGGCACCCACCACUAGCCAGGCCCUGCACUGGGCAUCGGGGCCACAGAGGACAGACCGACAGGGCCCCUGUUCUCGUGGGGUGAGAGUCCAGCGGGGAGAGAUCGACAAUCUGUGAAGAAACAAAUAAGAUAAAUACCAGUGGUACCAAGCGCAAGUCAGAGAAUUCAAACAGGGCGGUGUGGGAAAAGUUAACAGAUAGACAGGGAAGAGGUGAUCUUUAAGCACAAAUCCAAAAUGGUCCUUAAGUGCAUGAGGAACAUAAAGGUGGUGUUCUGGCUGGGCACAGGGGUGAGGGAGAGUCAUGUGCUGGAGGCGGGAGGGGUGGGCAGGUCCCGUCCUGGAGGGCUCUGAGGUCCUCUGAGGCCCUCCCCACCAUAAAUCAGCAGUCACAGCCAACACCAUACUCACCGAGAUGGCUGUAGGGGUACGUCUUCAUCCCAACCUCGCAGUACUCCAGACCUGAGGAGCGUGCCCCACAAGUCAAACCAAAACCGCAAAGCCCCAGCCCCCACCACCCAGCUGUGAAGGUCCCUUCCCUCAGAGGGGCCAGCUCUCCGUAAAUAAUGGAGGAUCUACACCCAUGUCUGAGCUGUCCCCCGGGGCCACCAGAGCCACAGACUUCACCACGGGAGGUGUGCUGAGUUGGCACAGGCUUCGGCCCACACAGGCCAGCUUCUGCCGCUCACUCACCCUCGCCGGCCACCUCAAGCAAGUCACUGUUCCCACUGCAUCCGCAGAGAUUACACCUCCCAGCAGGGCUCUGAGAAAAGGAAAUAAAAUCGGCCCACAGGGGGGCCACAUAAUGCUAACUGGUUUAUGACGACUAGGUUUUAAUAGUCUCGUAAUCUUUAAGUUAAGCUUAGAGACAUGAGCCAGCACUCCCACUUCUCUGCCCCGUGCAUGCUGCUGGACAAGCGGUCGGAGCUCUGGAAACACUCAGCGAGUAAAAACGGAUGGUCACCUUCUCUCCCUGCAGUGGGGCCCACUGCACCAUCCUGUGCCUCAUCACCCGCUCGCCAGGCCAGCACUCCGUGGAGAGAAGCUGCGUGCCAUGCCCCUUUGGCUUUUGGUAAGGAGCAGACACCCUCCUACCCCAGACAGAGAGGAGGGAAAAGUCAGGAAGGGCAAUGCUGCAGGGCGAGGGGUAGGGGGAGGCUGGGGGCUGCCCUCUGCCUGGAGGAAAGGGGUCUCGUGGAGAGC
rnacentral:lncRNA from 1 species